UUGUACAGUAUUUUCAUUUUCUAAUUACAAGCUUCACUUUAACUCAACAGUAAUAAUAAUAAUAGUAAUGAUUUAUUUUUUGUUUCUUGGUUUGUUAGAAAGUGUGUAAGAAUAAUAACAGCUCUUUUGCUGUUAAAGAUCCUGUAUGUUGUAAUUUAGGUUGUAUACCACACUUAAGUGAAAUUUUUGCAUGUAUAUGUAUAUAAUUAUGCUUCUAAAACAAUUUUCAAACAUCGAAGAAUAAUUGUUAAAUAUGUACUGCAAAUAUUUGUACACAUUAAAUGUUAUCAUUUAAAUAUACAUGUAUGCAUUCAUUUCUUAUUGAAAAAUUUGACUUAGACUAUAUAGAAAAUAAAUUUCUAAUUGCCUCCCUUUAUUUAAAUGAAAUGUUAAAUUGGUAAAAUCCUGAUAAAUAAUGCUUUUUGGAACUUACAAUAUUUAUAAAUCUUAAUUUGGGCAUCAUUUUUAUGAUAUAAAACCAUUAAAAAAAUUGUGUUACAGCAUCUUUAAUUACUUAUGUUUAUAAAUGUUGAUAUUUGUUGAAUAUAUAAUAUCAGGUUAUCCAUAUAAUUUCAUGCUUUGUUAUAAUGUAAAGGUUUACAAUGUUUUUAUUGUGCAUGUAGCUAUGUUAACAUGUUACAACUCGGCUUACUUGAUUUAAAUAUAGAAAAUAAGCAGCAUUUUUUAUCAUGUUUAAUGUUGUUGCUAUUGUCUUAUAUCUGGUCUAAAAGUUUUAGUUAUUUCAUUUAUUUUUUAUAAAUUUUCAUAAGCUUUUAAAUUCCUGAAUUUUUUGAAUUCUUAAAAUAUAGAAUUCAACUGAACUUCAGUCAAAUUUAAAAUUAUUUCUAUCUUUUUAUGCACCCGCCAUAAAAUGGCUGGGGCAUAUAGUGUUUCCCUCUUCCGUCAUCAUCAGUUUCUGUUCAUUAUCUUGGCAACAGUGGCAAACAUUCAUCUAAAAUAAGUCAUAUAUGAGCCGCGUCAUGACUAAACCAACAUAAUGGGUUUGCGACCAGCAUUGAUUCAGACCAGCCUGCAGAUUUGCGCAGUCUGAUCAGGAUCCAUGCUGGUUGCUUACAAACCCUAUAACAAGUAGAGAAACUGAUAGGGAACAGCAUGGAUCCUGAUCAGACUGCGCGGAUGAGCUGCCUGGUCUGGAUCCAUGCUGGUCGCAAACCCAUUAUGUUGGUUUUGUCGUGACGCGGCUCAUAUAUAAAUUUGGAUAUACUAUAGGAAAAUGCAUGUCAAGGUCAAAUUUGGUUAUGGUUUGCCCCUUGAAGAAAUUUUCAGUUGCCUUUCAUUAUCUCCCCAACAGAAGUACACAUUCAGCUCAAAUUUGACAUAUGAAUAAGUCAAAGGAUACCCAGGUAAAGUGCGUAUUUUGUCAUUGUCCGAUGAUUUUGGCUGAGCAAUGCCCCUUUUACUUUGAUAAAGAUAAAAAAGAUCAGUUUCUAUUCAUGAUCUCCCCAACAGUUGUACACAUCCAUGUCAAAUUUUAGUUGAAUUUGGUCAUGGUUAAAUGAAUACUUGGCAGAGUUAUGUCCCUUUAACUUUGAAAAUAAAAAGAAAUUUUCAGUUUCUGUUCAUUAUCUCCAGAAUAGUUGUACACAUUCAACUCAAGAUAAACAUCUGUAUAUUUCAUAGGAAAAUGCAGGUCAAGUUCGAGUUUGGUCAUGGUUUGAUGAUUUAUCCCCCUUAAAGAAAUGUUCAGUUUCCUUUCAUUAUCUCCCCAAAUUUAAUAUACUGAUACAUCAGAGGAUUAUGCAGGUUAAGUACAAAUUUGGUAUUGGUUAAAAAAUUUUGACACAGAUAUGCCCCUUUAACUUUGAAAAGAAAAAGAAAAUUUUCAACAGUUCAUUCAACUUAAAUUUGACAUAUGGAUACUUCAAAGGAUUAUGCAGUUCAAGUUUGAAUUUGGUCUUAGGUUGAUAAUUUUUAGCAGAGUUAUGCCACUUUAUCUUUAUAAAAAUACGAAAUUUUCAGUUUCUGUUCAUUAUCUCCCAAUAAGCAGAAAAUUUAAGUCAAAUUCGAAUUUGGUUUGUUCCGAUGAUUUUUGACACAGUAAUACUUCUUGAACUUUGUAUAAAAAUGGUUUGUGUUAACAUUUAAGGGUCUUGAACUUAGAAUGGUUUGUGCAAACAAAUUUGGAACUAAAAAUUAUUACAACAUUUAAAACUUUGGCUGCAUGCUAUUAAGACUAAAAACAGUUAAACCGUAUGUUUGUUUGCUUUUAGGAAAAGUAAAAAAAUUAGCAUUGCGCCGCCUGCAGUAGGUCUUGUUUUGCUUAAUUUUCUAUUAAAAGUUUGUUUAAACAGUUAUUUUGUUUGCUUGUAGAAAAAGUUAAAAAGUCAAGCAUUGUCCCCGCCUGGCAGUAGCUCUUGUUUAGCUUGAGAAUCAGAUUCCUCCGUUUUAGAAGAACGAAAAAAAAAAUAAGAUACUUUAAAGCCAAAUAUCCUUUAAUUACAUCUAAAUUGCUCAAAAUUUUCAUCUAUAGACUAAAAGCAUGUCGGAAUAUUAAGUAAAGAACGCUAAAACCUACAGUUCUAAGAAUAAUUGAUGUGAAGCCAAUCAUAUGUGAGCUUUUACAAUUUUGAAAGCGAUACGGUUUCUCAUUUUAACCGCUGAAAAACCGAUACUGAGUAGGUAAUUAUAUAAAUAAAGUUUUAAAUGAAGUAUGUGCUCGCCCAUAUGGUACAUUCCGGUGGCGAGGGUAAACAAACCAAACACACACAAGUAAUUUUCACCAUUUAGAGAAUAAACUUGGUGUUGUCCUGUAGGUAAACAUGCAAAACAAACCAGAUUAAUUCAAAUUACUUUAAACAUUUUUUCUAAUAUAAAUCAACAAUUUGUUUUACUUUCACAGACAGCAAGAUUUUUAUACUUCAUCUUAUGCUUAUCUGAAAAAAAAAACGGUUUGAUUGCAUGGCCAAAAUAGCUUUCUUUGGAAAUCAGAAUCACAAUGAAGACGAAACAAACCUGGACGAUGGCAAUCAGAACUACAUGUAAGAAACCAUUGUAGUAGACAUGAACAUAAGUCAAAUUAAGGUUUGUCUGAUGUCAAUUGAUUAUAGGUCAAAUGUCAAGGCCUUGGUCUUUAAAAGCUUGUCUGACAAAUUACCAGAGAAUGCUUAAGGCUUCUGUGAGUCCUAAGAUUUGGUGUGUACGUAAGUCAUGACCAUAAAAGGUCACUGUAGCUUUGGUGUUUAAAAGCUUAUAUUACAAAAUAUAGGUAAACCCUUUGGGCUUAAGCUUUUAAAUUUGUUGAGGAGGUUGUUCAUUACGAGUAGAUGACCCUAUUGUUUUUGAGGUCAUAAGGUCAAAGGUUAAAGUCACUGUGGCCUUAAAUACAUCUAAAAGCUUGUCCAACCAAGACCUAGUGUUUCAUCAGUUACAGGUUUGUAAAAGCUAUUCAAUACUACUGUUGUUAUAUUAUUAUAUAUUCUAUGUAUUAAUAUAACAUUUGACUUUGAAAUAUGCAUAAGUUUGUACAUAUUCCACUUUGACUGCAUAAAGCGGGGUAUAAGUGUUCUACGUUUAUUAUGUUUUUUAUGUAUAUUAAUCACGCUUCAUUAUUAUGUAUUUAGCUUGCCUGCUUCUUGAUUAAUUGUGGUCUUACUUGCUAAAAUCAUUCAUUUGUAUGUACAAAAUGUAUUAUAUGUAAUCUGAAAUAAAACAUUAAAUCGGGUAA